GAGUCUCACCCCCUUCGCGAAGCUGCUGCUCCUUCUCCGCUGCUGCUCUCCUUCUCCGCCUAAGCCCCAUCCUUCGCGAAGCUGGGCGCCACCACCGCUGCUUCUCCGCCUGAGCCCCAACCCUUCACGAAGCUGCUGCUGCUUCUCUGCCUGAGCCCCGUCCCUUCGCGAAGCUGCUGCUGCUUCUCCGCUUGAGCCUCGUCCUUCGCGAAACUGGGCGCCACCGCCAGAAGUCGAGCCCCUGCUUCUGCCCGUCCUCAGUCCGUCCGUCCGAGCCCCCUGCUCACCCACGAGAUCUGCAGCCGAGCCCUUGCUUCUGCCCUGCAGCAACUCCAGCGUCGCCCGCGCCACCGCCAGAAGCCGAGCCCCUGCUUCUGCCCUGUAGCAACUCCAGCCCCUUUAGGUAAAGAGAAUGCCCUAACUUGCUACCAUUCCUAUAAAUAUGUAAGAAUUGUGCUUCUUUCAUUCAUAAAGACUAAUGUCCUCCAUUUUGUCCGAGCUAUUCCACCCCAACGAUUACGCCCUUUUCAAAUUGGAUCGACUUGGAGCCCAGUCCGUCAUCAAGUGCAUAUCUAACAAGCAAAGUCCUCCUUCGGUACCAUAUAUAAACAAUGCAUCUUGCUCCAUUAAGCCGAAUCUUCCAAAAAAAAGGUAUUCACGAUUGUACCCGUUUAAAAAUGAGUCACGCGUAUGUUAUUCCACAAUGUCUCUUUCAGUGACUUGGGGUGUCACAUAUCCUCUAUCUUUUUCCUCUUUUCUCCUCCGUGGGGAAACUGUGUAAGUCAAACUCUCCUAGAGAAGUGUGAUAAGGGCCUGCCUUACGUCCAAAGACUCUGAAUAUAUAUCCCCCAAUGCCUCUUGUCGAUUUGUUCCUUUCAAUUUUGGGCGUUUGAACUUUCAAAUAAUUAGUGCUCAACUCUGCAAGUGUCUUUUUCUGUAUCUAAAGCCACGAGCUGGUUUUGCUUCUUUGAAUGCGUGCAAAAAAAGACCUUCAGUUGCAAAAGCCUCAAUACUUUCAAAGGUGGCAUUACUUUCUAAGACAAGGGACUAGUCAAAGAAUAUUGCCUCCUCCUUUUCAAUCACUUUAUAAGAUCAGAUCAGAUGUGAGUGAGCACUAACACAUUACAUGCUGUCCCAUUCAUUUCUUUACCCCUUUUUUUAUAUCGCUCCUGAGGUUUGUCUUCAACCAAGGUGCAAAAUUUGGCUGAUGAAGAUAGGCACAAUUUUAUUCAGCUUUUACAAAAACCGGCUGGCGUGACCAGUCUUUCUCAAUCCGAGUUGUGGUGUGCUCUACGUCCUCGUGUGUGCAGAGAUAUUCUGUGUGAUUUAAUGUUGGGUUGGAUGUUUGUAGGCGGUUUUGUUUUCUAUGGUUGGGAUCUUUGACAGUUAUCAUGGUGGUAUUUGCUGCGAUUAAUGCUGGUCAGUUAAAGUUUCGACUGUUGGACUCGAGUCUGAACCCAACUUUUCUUCUUUGUCUUUUAGCUCAAGUGUCAUGCAUGAGUUGAAGAAGUGGCGGGGUUGAGUUUGGAAAAAAUAUAAGGUUCAAGGACAUCACAGUUUGAAGAGGAAAAGCAGAGCAAAAAGGUACUCUUGUUCCUUCAAUUCUAGUUUCUGCUGUUUGAUGCGUUCAUGUUUUUUUUUUUUUUGGGUGAACUUCUCUUUUCUGAUUUUCAUAGUCUGCUCUCUCAAGUGGUACCAACAGAUAAGGCUCAGUCGAGAGGCUUUCUUUUAUUUGCCUCAAAGAUAAGCCGAUUCUGUGAAAUUUGGGGCCAAAAUUUCUACUGCUGGUUAUGUUAAUGUGACAGCUCUAAAAUGGUGAUUUUCUUUGUAUCUAUGGCUUCAAAUUGGUUAGUCCCAAGGGGGGAGUUAGAAGAAAAAACCAAAGCCUUCCCAGUUGUGCUUGUACUAAGCAUUACCACAAUCGCUAAUUGCCUAUGCUGAUAUCGGCACAGAACACAUCUUUUUGGCUGUCCAGCAACAAAUGCCAAGCACCAUCUACUCAGCUCUUUUCAUCUUCCUUCAUCUAUUCCAUAACUCUGUUGGAGAGCUCUCUGAUGUCGAAAACUUGACAUUGAAAUUUACGUUUCAGCAUUUGUUAGUUGGCCAGUUACCGGAUUUGGUAAGGCAGAACAAAAUGGGACAGCUCAGGGGCUCUGUUGAAACCGUGGGAAAAAAGAACUCACAACAUGAUCAAUAUGAGUGUUAAACGCUUUAUUUUAAAUAUGAGUGCUGUACAUUAAUUUUUGCAAAACAGGUUCCACUAUAAACAGGGUUGACCCUGUUCCCGGACUGGAAAAACAGGGUGGGUCGGGAACAGGGUCCAAUGUAAACAGGGUCGGGAACAGGGUCCAAAAAAAGAGAACCGGUUAUAACAGGGUCGGGAACAGGGUCCAGGUCUAGACCCUACCCACCCUGGACCCGAUCACCCCUAUGAGCCGCGUCUAAGGACCAACAAACGCCCGGAAUCAAGCUGAAAUCAGAGGAGGCAUAAGCGAAAUCUGGUUCGAGCAUUUCUUCAAACACAUGGCGAGCAGCGAGUUGGGGAGCAAAUAUUGACCUGUUUGGAGCUCGAGCGCACGCCCAAACUCAAAAGUAAUCAACGAGCAACGUUCGGAAUCAACAAAAUAACAACUCAUUCAGGUCCAGCACGAGCAAGAACUAAAGAAAUUGAGUCGACUCUCACCUCACUCAAGACGGACAGAACAAUCUUAUAACUCACAUUUGCAUGAAAAAAUCAUAGAUAGCUUAUCCAGGAUGAACAAUCUUACUUGAUGGCACAUGAGACUUGAUGUAUUUAGAAGGCAUUCUGAUCACUGUUAGUGUUGUCAAUAGAAUGAUUUCUCUGAAACAUCACGUUAGACUCUUGGAUCCGCUUCACCAUUCCUGUUGUCAUUGAAUAUGAUUAAAUUUGACUUAAUUAUUUUAUGUAAAAGGAAAGGAGAC
rnacentral:lncRNA from 1 species